rnacentral:rRNA from 1 species
GACAGAGGUGCCAAGCGUUUAGGCGGAAUCACUGGGCUUAAAGCGUGUGUAGGCGGAUGCCUAAGUACCUUGUGAAAUCCCACGGCUCAACCGUGGAACUGCUGGGGUAUACUGGGGUGUCUUGGGUCAGCUAGGGGUUGCCGGAACAAAUGGUGGAGCGGUGAAAUGCGUAGAUAUCAUUUGGAACGCCAAUGGUGAAAACAGCUCGCUGGGGAUGUACUGACGCUGAGACACGAAAGCCAGGGGAGCGAACGGG